GACGAACGCUGGCGGCGUGCUUAACACAUGCAAGUCGAACGCUGAAGCUCAGCUUGCUGGGUGGAUGAGUGGCGAACGGGUGAGUAACACGUGAGUAACCUGCCCUCUUCUUUGGGAUAACGCCCGGAAACGGGUGCUAAUACUGGAUAUUCACUGAUUCUCGCAUGGGGGUUGGUGGCAAGGUUUUUUCUGGUGGGGGAUGGGCUCGCGGCCUAUCAGCUUGUUGGUGGGGUGAUGGCCUACCAAGGCUUUGACGGGUAGCCGGCCUGAGAGGGUGACCGGUCACAUUGGGACUGGGAUACGGCCCAGACUCCUACGGGAGGCAGCAGUGGGGAAUAUAGCACAAUGGGCGAAAGCCUGAUGCAGCGACGCCGCGUGAGGGAUGGAGGCCUUCGGGUUGUAAACCUCUUUCGCUCAUGGUCAAGCCGCAGCUUUGGGUUGUGGUGAGGGUAGUGGGUAAAGAAGCGCCGGCUAACUACGUG
rnacentral:rRNA from 1 species